rnacentral:rRNA from 1 species
AUUGAACGCUGGCGGCAUGCUUUACACAUGCAAGUCGAGCGGCAGCGCGGGGCAACCUGGCGGCGAGCGGCGAACGGGUGAGUAAUGGAUAGGAACGUGUCCGGGAGUGGGGGAUAACUAGCCGAAAGGUUAGCUAAUACCGCAUAUUCUCUGUGGAGGAAAGCAGGGGACCGCAAGGCCUUGCGCUUCCGGAGUGGCCUAUCUCCGAUUAGCUAGUUGGUGAGGUAAAGGCUUACCAAGGCGACGAUCGGUAGCUGGUCUGAGAGGAUGAUCAGCCACACUGGGACUGAGACACGGCCCAGACUCCUACGGGAGGCAGCAGUGGGGAAUUUUGGACAAUGGGGGCAACCCUGAUCCAGCCAUGCCGCGUGCGGGAAGAAGGCCUUCGGGUUGUAAACCGCUUUUGUCAGGGAAGAAACGGAUUUCUCUAAUACAGAGAUCUAAUGACGGUACCUGAAGAAUAAGCACCGGCUAACUACGUGCCAGCCGCCGCGGUAACAC